rnacentral:misc_RNA from 1 species
UCGAGUUUUGAACGGGUUGUAGCUGGCCUCUCACGAGGCAUGUGCACGCCUGGCUCAUCCACUCUUAACCUCUGUGCACUUUAUGUAAGAGAAAAAAAUGGUGGAAGCUUCCCCAGGAUCUCGCGAGAGGUCUUCGGUUGAACAAGCCGUUUUUCUUUCUUAUGUUUUACUACAAACGCUUCAGUUAUAGAAUGUCAACUGUGUAUAACACAUUUAUAUA